UACGUAGGGGGCAAGCGUUGUUCGGAAUUACUGGGCGUAAAGGGCGCGUAGGCGGCCUGCUAAGUCGAACGUGAAAUCCCUGGGCUCAACCCAGGAACUGCGUCCGAUACUGGAUGGCUUGAAUCCGGGAGAGGGAUGCGGAAUUCCAGGUGUAGCGGUGAAAUGCGUAGAUAUUGGGAGGAACACCAGUGGCGAAGGCGGCUCACUGGACCGGUACUGACGCUGAGGCGCGAAAGCUAGGGUAGCAAACGGG
rnacentral:rRNA from 1 species